rnacentral:lncRNA from 1 species
AGUCUGUAAAACCAGUCGGUGACUAUGUCCUUUGCAGAAAGUUUAUGGCCACAACAAAAAAAUCUGGAUCAAAUCCCAGCAGUGGCGGCCACAUUUUGAUGGAGGUGAAAUGCAAAAAAAAAGUUCAUGUACUUGUGUUGCGCACCUCACGUGGCCAAAUUAAUCCGGAAUCAUAUCAUGGUUUUGGCACAUAAAAUCUCAGAAUUCAAAUUAACAAAACAUAUCUUUUGUACACUCACAGAAUUGUGCAUUCAGCACAGGUCCCCACACCUAAACCUAUAGUAUCCCAGGACUGUAGGCAGAGUGUUGCUAGCUUGUGCCUCUUUGCUGUUUGUGUGAUCCUUGUUUGACAUGUGAAGCCUCCAACGAUCCUUUUCAAGGCUUCGGCGCACCAUAGAGCUCCCAGCACUAUAGCCCAGCUUCUUGACUAUUGCAGUGUUGCUUCUCAUCACACCCUGGUUGAAUCGGCAGAUAGCUUGAGCCGCUGCCCUCUGCAUAUUGUGCAGCGAGGCAUGCUUAGUCAUUGGGGCUUGAUCCCAGAUCACGGAAUGCAGGCUUUCACUGGCAUUUUGAGUCAGGCCGUCGCUGCACCGCUCCAAGAGCACUUGAACACUGGCUCCAAAGCUUCGCACACGAAGUUCGGCAGGCUGUUUUUGUGUGCUAGGGGUUUCUUGCCCUUUGCCACAGCCCGGUUGUAGCUGCACCAGGAUUCUAGCCCAUCAGGGCAACGGUCAUGCUUGGGAGCAUCAUCAGUUGACAUACGGCGCAGGGUAGCCUCAACUGCCUUCUUCAUGCCUGGCACGUCAUUCUUGCGACUCCUUAGGGGCCCAGCCAUAGUAAUGCGUAAUUUUAUUGAUCCUGUCCUAGGUGACCCGUCCCUUUCCUCCAAGUGGCUCACCUUGGGCUUUCUUUUUGUCAACCAGCCCACGCAAGGCUGCUCCCAUGUACUUGUACACAUGGUUUAUGCAGUCUUUC